GGGCCUAUGGCAUAAUGGAUAAAGCGCUGGUCUACGGAACCGUAGAUUCCAGGUUCGAUCCCUGGUAGGCUCG
rnacentral:tRNA from 1 species